CUUGAAUAAAAUUAUACUGAAUGAAAGAAUUGAGAAUUGAAUCAAAGCAAAAUUGAAAUAUCAAAAUUAAUAUUAUCUUAUUAAAAAAAGUCAAUAUUUUACCAAAAUUUCGAUUCAGUUUUAGUUUCUAAAUAGACUCAAACUGAAAUUAGAAUCACAAACCCCUAGUACCAACCGCCCCUGUUUUUGAUGACAAGCAAUCACUUCUUUCCUUUUUCUUUUCCCUCGGAAAAUCAUACCACAUGCACAGUUUGUUGCCUAUACUUCUUGCCAAACUCAUAAUCAUAUGUUAAUGGCAAACAAUGAGAGCAACUACCUUAUUAUGUGACGCACACACCCCCACCCAAGUUGUCCAAAUGGUCAAGUGAUGCCUAUUUCGUAACGUUGAAAGUCUUAAGGCUUGGAUUUUGAUAUAGUUCCAUUUUCUUUGAAAAUAUUCCUAUUAAGUAGUGAAAAAUUAAUUAAUGACAACACCAAUAUAGUAGCGUUGAUGGUUGUCUGAACAUUGGAUGCCUGCCUGGAGCUUUUUACCGUACGGGUGUAUAAAAAAAAUAAUUAAUCAAAAAGGGGUGAGCUUAAGAAAAAUUACGAAAAAAUGGUGAUAUAAGCUGAUAUAGAAGUGGGGUGCUAAUUAAAUUAGUGUUUUAUAUUUAAUUUACAAUUUUUACAUUGAGACGCUGCAUAUAAUAGUGUUUUGAUACUGGAAUAGAGUUGAGAAGCUAAUAAAAAAAGCGUUUUGCAAAAUUUGUUAUUAGCGUUUUGCAAAAUUUGACUCCACAUAAACAAUCUCUCAGUAAAUGUUGCUUCGACGCCAUUUAUAAUGGCGUCCCAAGCUUAGCCAAAAUUUUUUAUAUUAUUUUU
rnacentral:misc_RNA from 1 species